UUGCCCAGUGAAACCCAAGUGUGCAUUUUGCUUGCCUUGGUUUUAACUCUGUGCUAGCAUAAUGUCUAUUCUUUACCUCCACAUUGAAAGGAAUCACCAUUUUAGUGUAGUCAGAAAGUCAGCACAUUA